AUUGAACGCUGGCGGCAUGCUUUACACAUGCAAGUCGAACGGUAACAGGCCUUCGGGCGCUGACGAGUGGCGAACGGGUGAGUAACGCAUCGGAACGUGCCCAGUCGUGGGGGAUAACGCAGCGAAAGCUGUGCUAAUACCGCAUACGAUCUGCGGAUGAAAGCGGGGGACCUUAGGGCCUCGCGCGAUUGGAGCGGCCGAUGUCAGAUUAGGUAGUUGGUGGGGUAAAGGCCCACCAAGCCAACGAUCUGUAGCUGGUCUGAGAGGACGACCAGCCACACUGGGACUGAGACACGGCCCAGACUCCUACGGGAGGCAGCAGUGGGGAAUUUUGGACAAUGGGCGCAAGCCUGAUCCAGCAAUGCCGCGUGCAGGAAGAAGGCCUCGGUUGUAAGCUCUUUGUCAGGAAGAAACAGCAGCUCUAACACAGUCUGCGAAUGACGGUACCUGAAGAAUAAG
rnacentral:rRNA from 1 species